GCCGGGGUGGCCUAGCUGGUUAGGGCGCCAGACUCAUAAUCUGGAAGUCGCGGGCUCGAAUCCCGCCCCCGGCA
rnacentral:tRNA from 2 species